rnacentral:rRNA from 1 species
AGUGAACGCUGGCGGUAGGCCUAACACAUGCAAGUCGAACGGCAGCACAGUAAGAGCUUGCUCUUACGGGUGGCGAGUGGCGGACGGCUGAGGAAUACAUCGGAAUCUACUUUUUCGUGGGGGAUAACGUAGGGAAACUUACGCUAAUACCGCAUACGACCUACGGGUGAAAGCAGGGGAUCUUCUGACCUUGCGCGAUUGAAUGAGCCGAUGUCGGAUUAGCUAGUUGGCGGGGUAAAGGCCCACCAAGGCGACGAUCCGUAGCUGGUCUGAGAGGAUGAUCAGCCACACUGGAACUGAGACACGGUCCAGACUCCUACGGGAGGCAGCAGUGGGGAAUAUUGGACAAUGGGCGCAAGCCUGAUCCAGCCAUACCGCGUGGGUGAAGAAGGCCUUCGGGUUGUAAAGCCCUUUUGUUGGGAAAGAAAAGCAGCAGGUUAAUACCCCGCUGUUCUGACGGUACCCAAAGAAUAAGCACCGGCUAACUUCGUG